GGUGAGUAAACAGGAGGGGGAAGGAUGUCAGCAUUUUGGAGCACAUGAGGCUUGCGACAUUCUUGUCACCCCAUCGUAACAGAAACCUAGAGCAACGGCGCCGAAAGGCACCGGCUUCAAUAAGAGUGUCUCCUGGAAGCACCUGCAAAACCUCUUCCAGCAGAUUUCUCUCUCUCUCUCUCUGCUUUUCUCUCUCUCUCUCUCUCUUCUCUCUCUAGGAAUUAAUUUGGCCCACAAUAAUGCUCUUAUUAGGAUUCCGAGGAUGUGGUUCUUUUCCGGCGAAACUUCAUUCGAACCUGCUAAUAAUAAACCUUUCAGCCGUCAUUCAGGGCAAAUGUUGUAAAGCAUUAACCAGGGAGUUUUUAAUCUGAAAGGUGCCAGAGUCGGGAAUGAAAUUUUCUCAACGGUGCUCGGAAGACCCCUGACCUCCGCUCUGCUGGACUCCUGCACGUAAGCGCCAGCUCCCACGUACCCAGGUGUUCUAAUCCAGUCCCCCGAAACACCCACCGCCCCCCCUCACUGCCCUCGGGGGCCAGGAUUACACGCAUACUAUCGCAGAGGAGGAGGUUGCGGGUCGGAUGCCGCUCCCCGCAGCACGUGCAGCUUUACGAGGGGGGGUGAGAGGAGGGUGGCGGUGAACGAGGAGAAACGGAGAUCGCAGCAGACGGACUGGGAGGACACGAGAACGCGGAAACUGGAGCAGCGGGUGGAGGCUGGAUGGACUGCAGGAGCGAAAAGCGCCGGAAAGCCAAAGGUCAUCGGCACGGGAGCCUCGGAGCGGCGUGACGGGAGCAUGGAGGAGCGGCGAUAGAGAUCCCGGUGUUCGGAGCACAAAGACAUGACUGGCACCGAGACUGGGUGGCAGAACAUGUCAGAGGAGGGAGAGAAGGGAGAGGAGAAAGAGGAGCAGCGUGUUAAUAGAGGCAGGCUGUCUCUUCUCUGUCUGCCAUUUCCUUUGUCCAACUUUUCUCCCCUUCAGAUCCUUUCUUGGCCCUGCGGCGCCUCGAUCGAGCUCACUGUCCAGAAACGCACCAGACCCGUCCUUAUGGACGCGAUGAAAGCUGUGAGACAAAGAGUGAAAGAGAAAGACAGGCAGCAAUGUGAGUCUGGAGGGGUGCGGUGUUUUAUUUUGGCAAAAAAAAAAAAAAAAAAA